rnacentral:rRNA from 1 species
UAUUGGACAAUGGGGGGAACCCUGAUCCAGCGACGCCGCGUGAGUGAAGAAGUAUUUCGGUAUGUAAAGCUCUAUCAGCAGGGAAGAAAGAAAUGACGGUACCUGACUAAGAAGCCCCGGCUAACUACGUGCCAGCAGCCGCGGUAAUACGUAGGGGGCAAGCGUUAUCCGGAUUUACUGGGUGUAAAGGGAGCGUAGACGGCGAUGCAAGUCUGAAGUGAAAGGCGGGGGCCCAACCCCCGGACUGCUUUGGAAACUGUAUGGCUGGAGUGCAGGAGAGGUAAGUGGAAUUCCUAGUGUAGCGGUGAAAUGCGUAGAUAUCGGGAGGAACACCAGUGGCGAAGGCGGCCUACUGGACUUUAACUGACGCUGAGGCACGAAAGCGUGGGUAGCAAACAGGA